rnacentral:rRNA from 1 species
UGGAGCAUGUGGUUUAAUUCGAAGCAACGCGAAGAACCUUACCAGGUCUUGACAUCCUCUGACAACCCUAGAGAUAGGGCGUUCCCCUUCGGGGGACAGAGUGACAGGUGGUGCAUGGUUGUCGUCAGCUCGUGUCGUGAGAUGUUGGGUUAAGUCCCGCAACGAGCGCAACCCUUGAUCUUAGUUGCCAGCAUUCAGUUGGGCACUCUAAGGUGACUGCCGGUGACAAACCGGAGGAAGGUGGGGAUGACGUCAAAUCAUCAUGCCCCUUAUGACCUGGGCUACACACGUGCUACAAUGGAUGGUACAAAGGGCUGCAAACCUGCGAAGGUAAGCGAAUCCCAUAAAGCCAUUCUCAGUUCGGAUUGUAGGCUGCAACU